rnacentral:rRNA from 1 species
UCUUAGUGGCGGACGGGUGAGUAACGCGUGGGUAACCUGCCUUAGUACAGGGGGAUAACACUUAGAAAUAGGUGCUAAUACCGCAUAAGCGCACGGGGCUGCAUGGCCCAGUGUGAAAAACUCCGGUGGUAUAAGAUGGACCCGCGUCUGAUUAGCUUGUUGGCGGGGUAACGGCCCACCAAGGCGACGAUCAGUAGCCGGCCUGAGAGGGUGGACGGCCACAUUGGGACUGAGACACGGCCCAAACUCCUACGGGAGGCAGCAG